GAGAUUAUGUACUCCACUCCGAUUACCUAGUUUUGACCGAACAUUUUUUUAUACGGGAGCUUGCCCUUUCCUUUCUGCAUAAAUGCCCUCAUUAGAGGCACUUAUAAAGUCAGGAAGAAAGCACCCACCUGCCAUGGUGCGGGGUUCAAAACGAAGGAAAGGAGGGGAAGAAAUAAGAAAGAUAU
rnacentral:other from 1 species